rnacentral:tRNA from 1 species
GGCUUCGUGGUCGGGUGGUAAGGUCACUUGCCUCGCAUCCUGGAGUCCCGGGUUCGAUCCCCGAUCGAGGAGCUA